CAUGCAAGUCGAGCGGGUUUGUCCUUCGGGACAAGCUAGCGGCGGACGGGUGAGUAACACGUAGGCAACCUGCCUUUAAGACUGGGAUAACUAUCGGAAACGAUAGCUAAGACCGGAUAACUGGUUUUCUCGCAUGAGAGAAUCAUGAAACACGGAGCAAUCUGUGGCUUAAAGAUGGGCCUGCGGCGCAUUAGCUUGUUGGUGAGGUAACGGCUCACCAAGGCGACGAUGCGUAGCCGACCUGAGAGGGUGAACGGCCACACUGGGACUGAGACACGGCCCAGACUCCUACGGGAGGCAGCAGUAGGGAAUCUUCCGCAAUGGACGCAAGUCUGACGGAGCAACGCCGCGUGAGUGAUGAAGGUUUUCGGAUCGUAAAGCUCUGUUGCCCUAGACGAACAGCAUGAGGAGUAACUGCCUUGUGUGUGACGGUAUAGGAGAAGAAAGCCCCGGCUAACUACGUGCCAGCAGCCGCGGUAAUACGUAGGGGGCAAGCGUUGUCCGGAAUUAUUGGGCGUAAAGCGCACGCAGGCGGUCAUUUAAGUCUGGUGUUUAAUCCUGGGGCUCAACCCCAGUUCGCAUCGGAAACUGGAUGACUUGAGUGUAAGAGAGGAAAGUGGAAUUCCACGU
rnacentral:rRNA from 1 species